AUCAAAUCUUAUGAGUGACACAAGUGAUUUGUCUUCUUUGGUCAAGAAUUAUGAAGACGUUUUAGGCUCUCUCUUGGACAAACAUGCACCUAUGAAGCGACGUACAAUUACCAUUCGUCCAAGGGCACCAUGGUAUAAUGCCAAUAUCACAGAAGCAAAAAGGCUUCGUCGCCAACUUGAAAGGAAAUGGCGCUCGUCUAAAUCAUUGAGCG